UACGUAGGGUGCGAGCGUUAAUCGGAAUUACGGGGCGUAAAGCGUGCGCAGGCGGUUUUGUAAGGCAGAUGUGAAAUCCCCGGGCUUAACCUGGGAACUGCGUUUGAAACUACGUGGCUCGAGUGUGGCAGAGGAAGGUGGAAUUCCACGUGUAGCGGUGAAAUGCGUAGAGAUGUGGAGGAACACCGAUGGCGAAGGCAGCCUUCUGGGCCAACACUGACGCUCAUGCACGAAAGCGUGGGGAGCAAACAGG
rnacentral:rRNA from 1 species